rnacentral:rRNA from 1 species
AGCAGCCGCGGUAAUUCCAGCUCCAAUAGCGUAUAUUAAAGUUGUUGCAGUUAAAAAGCUCGUAGUUGAAUUUCGGAAUUUGUCGGUUGGUCGGGCUUCACUGUCCGCACUGGCCUGAUGGAUUCCUACCUUCUGAAUAACCAGCAUGCUAUUAAGUUAGUGCGUUGGGGAAGCAGAGCUAUUACCUUGAAAAAUUAGAGUGCUUAAAGCAGGCUCACGCUUGAAUAGAUUAGCAUGGAAUAAUAAAAUAGGACGGCAUGGUUCUAUUUUGUUGGUUUCUAGGAUCACCGUAAUGAUUAAUAGGGAUAGUUGGGGGCAUUAGUAUUCAAUUGUCAGGGGUGAAAUUCUUGGAUUUAUUGAAGACUAACUUCUGCGAAAGCAUUUGCCAAGGAUGUUUUCAUUAAUCAAGAACGAAAGUUGGGGGCUCGAAGACGAUCAGAUACCGUCCCAGUCUCAACCAUAAACGAUGCCGACUAGGGAUCGGCGGAUGUUGCUUUUAGGACUCGCCGG